AUUGAACGCUGGCGGCAUGCUUUACACAUGCAAGUCGAACGGCAGCGCGGGCUUCGGCCUGGCGGCGAGUGGUGAACGGGUGAGUAAUGCAUCGGAACGUGCCCAGUAGUGGGGGAUAGCCCGGCGAAAGCCGGAUUAAUACCGCAUACGACCUGAGGGUGAAAGCGGGGGACCGAAAGGCCUCGCGCUAUUGGAGCGGCCGAUGUCGGAUUAGCUAGUUGGUGGGGUAAAGGCUUACCAAGGCGACGAUCCGUAGCUGGUCUGAGAGGACGACCAGCCACACUGGGACUGAGACACGGCCCAGACUCCUACGGGAGGCAGCAGUGGGGAAUUUUGGACAAUGGGGGCAACCCUGAUCCAGCCAUGCCGCGUGCGGGAAGAAGGCCUUCGGGUUGUAAACCGCUUUUGUUCGGGAAGAAAUCCUCUGGGCUAAUACCCCGGGGGGAUGACGGUACCGGAAGAAUAAGCACCGGCUAACUACGU
rnacentral:rRNA from 1 species